rnacentral:rRNA from 1 species
AGAGUUUGAUCCUGGCUCAGGAUGAACGCUGGCGGCGUGCCUAACACAUGCAAGUCGAACGGGGCGCGCCGGCGGGGGCCCUCCGGGGCUGAAGCCGGCGCCGCCCAGUGGCGGACGGGUGAGUAACGCGUGGGCAACCUGCCCCGCACUGGGGGACAACAGCCGGAAACGGCUGCUAAUACCGCAUGGGCGCACAGCCCCGCAUGGGGCGGUGCGGAAAGCCUUGGCGGUGCGGGAUGGGCCCGCGUCUGAUUAGCUUGUUGGCGGGGCAACGGCCCACCAAGGCGACGAUCAGUAGCCGGCCUGAGAGGGUGGGCGGCCACAUUGGGACUGAGACACGGCCCAAACUCCUACGGGAGGCAGCAGUGGGGGAUAUUGCACAAUGGGGGGAACCCUGAUGCAGCGACGCCGCGUGGGCGAUGGAGCGCCUCGGCGCGUAAAGCCCUAUCAGCAGGGAAGAAAAUGACGGUACCUGACUAAGAAGCCCCGGCUAAAUACGUG